rnacentral:rRNA from 1 species
CAUGUAGGCGGCAUGACAAGUCUGGUGUGAAAUAUCUCGGCUCAACCGAGAAAACGCACUGGAAACUGUCAAGCUAGAGUAUCGGAGGGGAAGCUAGAAUUCCUGGUGUAGGGGUGAAAUCUGUAGAUAUCAGGAAGAAUACCGGCGGCGAAGGCGAGCUUCUGGCCAGAUACUGACGCUGAGAUGCGAAAGCGUGGGGAGCGAACAGGAUUAGAUACCCUGGUAGUCC